rnacentral:rRNA from 1 species
AUCUGCAGCCAUGCCACCCUGAAUAAGCCCAAUGUCUGAUCUUGGAAGCUAAGUAGGGUCGGGCCUAGUUAGUACUUGGAUGGGAGACCACCUAGGAAGACCAGGUGCUAUAGGCA